AAUUAGCAGAGUGGUUCAUCACGUCUCCUUUACACGGAGAAGGUCGUGGGUUCGAUCCCCACAGGAACUA
rnacentral:tRNA from 1 species